rnacentral:rRNA from 1 species
UACGGGGGGGGCAAGCGUUGUUCGGAAUUACUGGGCGUAAAGGGCGCGUAGGCGGCCUUCUAAGUCGGACGUGAAAUCCCUCGGCUUAACCGAGGAACUGCGUCCGAUACUGAAAGGCUUGAAUCCGGGAGAGGGAUGUGGAAUUCCAGGUGUAGCGGUGAAAUGCGUAGAUAUCUGGAGGAACACCAAUGGCGAAGGCAGCACUCUGGGCCGGUACUGACGCUGAGGAGCGAAAGCGUGGGGAGCAAACAGG